CAGUCGCCACGGGAAUACAGAGGGUGCGAGCGUUAAUCGGAUUUACUGGGCAUAAAGCGUGCGUAGGCGGCUUCUUAAGUCGGAUGUGAAAUCCCUGAGCUUAACUUAGGAAUUGCAUUCGAUACUGGGAAGCUAGAGUAUGGGAGAGGAUGGUAGAAUUCCAGGUGUAGCGGUGAAAUGCGUAGAGAUCUGGAGGAAUACCGAUGGCGAAGGCAGCCAUCUGGCCUAAUACUGACGCUGAGGUACGAAAGCAUGGGGAGCAAACAGGAUUAGAUACCCCUGUAGUCCCUGUCUCUUAUAC
rnacentral:rRNA from 1 species